rnacentral:tRNA from 1 species
GCGAAAAUAGCUCAGUUGGUAGAGCACGACCUUGCCAAGGUCGGGGUCGAGGGUUCGAGUCCCUUUUUUCGCU